rnacentral:rRNA from 1 species
AUUGAACGCUGGCGGCAUGCCUUACACAUGCAAGUCGAACGGUAACGAGCCUUCGGGUGCCGACGAGUGGCGCACGGGUGAGUAAUACAUCGGAACGUGCCCGAUCGUGGGGGAUAACGAGGCGAAAGCUUUGCUAAUACCGCAUACGAUCUACGGAUGAAAGCAGGGGACCGCAAGGCCUUGCGCGGACGGAGCGGCCGAUGGCAGAUUAGGUAGUUGGUGGGAUAAAAGCUUACCAAGCCGACGAUCUGUAGCUGGUCUGAGAGGAUGAUCAGCCACACUGGGACUGAGACACGGCCCAGACUCCUACGGGAGGCAGCAGUGGGGAAUUUUGGACAAUGGGCGCAAGCCUGAUCCAGCCAUGCCGCGUGCAGGAUGAAGGCCUUCGGGUUGUAAACUGCUUUUGUACGGAACGAAAAGCCUUCUUUUAAUACAGGAGGGUCAUGACGGUACCGUAAGAAUAAGCACCGGCUAACUACGUG